rnacentral:hammerhead_ribozyme from 1 species
AUUCAGCUGACGAGUCCCAAAUAGGAAGAAAUGCGAAUCCUGGAU